GGGCUCUGGCUGUCAGCCUGGGACAUGGGAGGGGGACCCCACUGCAGCCCCUCCAGGCCUGAGCAGGGUGAAGGACCCUAAGAGGAGCAGAGAGAGCUGGAACAUCAAGUCAGUGAGCAGAACUGCACGUGCAAUCUCACCCAGUUCUGAAUGUAUGAAUUCUUUCUUCAUUUUUGAUAAUGAAUACUCUGAAACUCUAGCCAAAAACUAAACAAGAAAGCAUUUUUGAAAAGUGGAACAUGAAAAAGUAGAGAAAAAUAGAAGCAGAGAUGAAUGGAAAUAUACUCGUAGAAGAUUGUCCAAUAACCACAGUGGCCUCAAUUCUUGGGUCCAGCCAAGCUGUGGGGAGUGCAGGACCCAAAGGAAAAACGAAGAGUCUCUGCUUCACAGGAUAGAGUUUCCCAUCCUACUUGUAUGUGCAACAAACAG